rnacentral:rRNA from 1 species
AGCGAACGCUGGCGGCAGGCCUAACACAUGCAAGUCGAACGAACUCUUCGGAGUUAGUGGCGGACGGGUGAGUAACACGUGGGAACGUGCCUUUAGGUUCGGAAUAACUCAGGGAAACUUGCGCUAAUACCGAAUGUGCCCUUCGGGGGAAAGAUUUAUCGCCUUUAGAGCGGCCCGCGUCUGAUUAGCUUGUUGGUGAGGUAAUGGCUCACCAAGGCGACGAUCAGUAGCUGGUCUGAGAGGAUGACCAGCCACAUUGGGACUGAGACACGGCCCAAACUCCUACGGGAGGCAGCAGUGGGGAAUCUUGCGCAAUGGGCGAAAGCCUGACGCAGCCAUGCCGCGUGGAUGAUGAAGGUCUUAGGAUUGUAAAAUCCUUUCACCGGUGAAGAUAAUGACUGUAGCCGGAGAAGAAGCCCCGGCUAACUUCGUGCCAGCCGCCGCGGUAAUAC